rnacentral:rRNA from 1 species
UACGUAGGGCGCAAGCGUUGUCCGGAAUUAUUGGGCGUAAAGAGCUCGUAGGCGGUCUGUCGCGUCCGUUGUGAAAACUCGAGGCUCAACCUCGGGCUUGCAGUGGAUACGGGCAGACUAGAGUGCGGUAGGGGAGACUGGAAUUCCUGGUGUAGCGGUGGAAUGCGCAGAUAUCAGGAGGAACACCCGUAGCGAAGGCGGCACUCUGGGCCGAUACUGACACUGAGGAGCGAAAGCGUGGGGAGCGAACAGG